rnacentral:rRNA from 1 species
UGUUGGCUUAGAAGCAGCCACUCAUUUAAAGAGUGCGUAAUAGCUCACUAGUCGAGAGGUCCUGCGCCGAAAAUGUACCGGGGCUAAACUUACCACCGAAGCUACGGAUUUGCAAGUAAUUGCAAGUGGUAGGGGAGCGUCGUAAUCGGGCUGAAGUCGUACCGGAAGGAGCGGUGGACUGAUUACGAGUGAGAAUGUUGGCAUUAGUAGCGAGAUGUAGGUGAGAAUCCUACAGGCCGAAUAUCUAAGGUUUCCUCAGGAAGGCUCGUCCGCUGAGGGUUAGUCGGGACCUAAGCCGAGGCCGAAAGGCGUAGGCGAUGGACAAUCGGUUGAUAUUCCGAUACCACUACCAUCGUUAUUAUCGAGGGUGUGACGGAGAAGGAUAGUGUGUGCUAGCGAUUGGAAAUGCUAGUCUAAGCGUUUAGGGAGUUACGGUAGGCAAAUCCGCUGUAACAAUUCUGAGGCGUGAUGGGGAAGGUCAUUAAGACCGAAGUACAUGAUUCCAUGCUUCCAAGAAAAGCAUCUAGAGAGAGAAGUAGUGCCCGUACCGCAAACCGACACAGGUAGAUGAGGAGAGAAUCCUAAGGCCGGCGGAAGAAUUGCAGUUAAGGAACUAGGCAAAUUGACCCCGUAAGUUCGCGAGAAGGGGUGCCUGCGAGAGCAGGCCGCAGAGAAUAGGCCCAAGCAACUGUUUAGCAAAAACACAGGUCUAUGCAAAACCGAAAGGUGAGGUAUAUGGGCUGACGCCUGCCCGGUGCUGGAAGGUUAAGGGGAGAGGUUAGCGCAAGCGAAGCUUUGAACUUAAGCCCCAGUAAACGGCGGCCGUAACUAUAACGGUCCUAAGGUAGCGAAAUUCCUUGUCGGGUAAGUUCCGACCCGCACGAAAGGCGUAACGAUUUGGGCACUGUCUCAACAACAGACUGGGUGAAAUUGUAAUACCGGUGAAGAUGCCGGUUACCUGCGACAGGACGGAAAGACCCCAUGGAGCUUUACUGUAGCUUGACAUUGAGUCUCGGUGCUACAUGUACAGGAUAGGUGGGAGACUAUGAAGCAUGGACGUCAGUCUGUGUGGAGUCAUCCUUGGGAUACCACCCUUGUAGUACUGGGAUUCUAACCAGAGGCCAUGAAUCUGGUCUUGGGACACUGUCAGGUGGACAGUUUGACUGGGGCGGUCGCCUCCCAAAAAGUAACGGAGGCGCUCAAAGGUUCUCUCAGUACGGUCGGAAAUCGUACGAAGAGUGUAAAGGCAAAAGAGAGCUUGAUUGCAAGACAUACAGGUCGAGCAAGGACGAAAGUCGGACUUAGUGAUCCGGUGGUUCCGCAUGGAAGGGCCAUCGCUCAACGGAUAAAAGCUACCCUGGGGAUAACAGGCUGAUCUCCCCCAAGAGUCCACAUCGACGGGGAGGUUUGGCACCUCGAUGUCGGCUCAUCACAUCCUGGGGCUGUAUUCGGUCCCAAGGGUUCGGCUGUUCGCCGAUUAAAGUGGCACGCGAGCUGGGUUCAGAACGUCGUGAGACAGUUCGGUCCCUAUCUGUUGCGGGCGCAGGAGAUUUGAAGGGAGCUGUCCUUAGUACGAGAGGACCGGGAUGGACAGACCUCUGGUGCACCAGUUGUCGUGCCAACGGCACAGCUGGGUAGCUACGUCUGGACGAGAUAAACGCUGAAAGCAUCUAAGUGUGAAACUCCCCCUAAGAUAAGAUCUCCCAUCCAUUAGGAGUAAGGGACGACAAAGACUAUGUCGUUGAUAGGUCGGAAGUGUAAGUGCAGUAAUGCAUUGAGCUGACCGAUACUAAUAACCCGAGGGCUUGACCU